CAGCAGCAGCCCUUUGUGAGCUUCGCAUUUUUGUGUCCCUAGCGCUUAGGAGCGAAUGUCCUUCUUCAGCCUGCCCGCAUGGAUGCUGGGCUUAUCUGCGCGCCGCACUCCUCUUCUUUCACUGAUUCCGAACAGCUUUCAUGGGUGGCUUUGUGAAGAAUUAUCCUCUCCAGGGAAAUACAUCUUUUAUUCUUCUGAUUUUUAAGAGGGAAUAUGGUCUGAGGCAAAGUUCCAGCAACAGAGGAAACUUUCUUCAAUCAACAAUAAGGCAAGACUGCCAUGAAGUAGUAACAGCCUGAAAGGACACUAAAAAUGAGAUCAAGACCCAUCAGUCUGGAUGAGUCUUAUUCAGUGAAUGACUGAUAAAGUUAGUCAAAAUAUAUUAAUGGAA
rnacentral:lncRNA from 1 species